GUCGCAGGGCCACGCCGGGGCUGCGGGGGCCUGGCCAUCACGCCCGGCCUACCUCCGGGCUCCUAGCGCCGGGAGAUUCCAGCUCAGGGCUGGAGCCGGAGGCGUCGGAAAGGAGGCGGAGCUGCCUGCGCUCACCCGCCAGGCUCCUCCCUCACAGCGAGCUCUCUGAGUGAGCAUCCAGGGCUUCAGUGGGGAGCAGGGCGAAAAAGAGUUGCAGAGUGGGUGGGUGGCAGGGAGGGAACCUGUUAAAAUCGCAUGACGGGGUUGCUGCCUCUCUGAAGAGCAAGUGUGUUGUGAUCUGCUCUGGGCACUUCCCUGGGAGAGUUAGAAGGCUCUAAUAUCCACACAAAUGUUAGGUGCACAGAUAGCCAUGGAAGUCCUGGGGGUGCCUGGGGAUCUAGCUGACCCAGGCAUUCCCUAGUGAGCUGAAAUCCUUUGUUGUUGCCUGUGUGUGUGUGGGGCGGGGUUAGGGUUAGGAGUUUUGUCAUAUAGUCCAGACUGGCUUUAAAUUCAUAUAUUUUACAUAGAUGACCUUGAAAUUUUGCUUUGCCUAUUCCACCUCCUCAGAGGUAGGAUUCCAGGCAUGAACCAUCAUACUUGGCUUAUAUGGUUUCCGGAUCAAACGCAGGGCUUCAUGCUUGCUAAUUAAGUACUCCACUCUCUGAGGCAAAACCCCAGAGGACCAAGGGAUCUUAAUUCUAAUAAGACUGUCCUCGGGAAUUCGCUUCACAAAUGAGUAAGUGUGCCUCUGUAACAUAAGAUAAUUAGCUGUCACACAAACACCCAGCAAAACAGGGUGGGGGGGGGGGAGAUAUCUGAACCUGGGCCUGACUGAUCAGCCUCAGCCACCAGAACAGGAUUCUGAGCCUUCAGACACACAGCUGUCUUCUUCACUGGCAGCACCGAACAGAACCCGCAACCUCAACCUGGCAGAGGUCUCGGUCUUACCAGCAUGUCCCUCUGAAACCGACUGUAGUUUAGGUGGGUGAGGCACAGCAGAGGAAGCACGGUGUUCACGUGUAUGUGACCGUCCCCUGAUACCUGUCAUCAUCCUGCUGAAGAGCUCAUGUGUAUACACGUGUGGUCCCGUGUACAAUGUGCAUACAUGUGUAUCUGUGAGGAGGGACACUUCUGUGGGCAUGUGGGUGUGUGGGAGUUAUCUGUGCAUGGAUCUGUGUGUAUGUGUGGGUACUUCUGUGGAUCUGGAGGAGCCGUUCACCUUCUGCACUACAGGCUCAACCUAGACCGUAGAUCUGGGGUACUGCGUCUACUCAGUUCCGUAGAAAAUCUUGGGUACCACGUUUCCCCCUACCCCCACAUUCCUCAAAGGGUUUUAUGAACAUGGUGGUUUGAAAAAGAUGUCUCCCGUUGUCUUGGGGAAUGUGAAUACUUGAUCUCCAUUUGACAGCACUAUUCUGGGAAGCUGAGGAGGUGUGGCCUUGUUGGAGGAAUUGUCACUAGAGGUGGCUUUCUCUAUGCUUCCCUCUUAGAGUCUGAGACAUGAGCUCUCAGCAGUCCUUGCUGCAAGUCUGCCACCUGCUGCCUUAAUUCUCUCUCCCCUGGAACCAUAGGUUCAAACAAACUUCUUCCUUCUAAAAGUUGCCUUGGUCAUGGCGUUUCAUCGCAGCAGCAGAAGACUAAUGCAGGUGGACAUUAGAAGACAUCCAAGGGCCACUGCCAUUCCAUUUCUAACUUUCCUCUAAGGCUGGGGACCUGCCAUCUACUGGAGUGAGGCUGGGACUUGUAGUCCCACAGAGAGAAGGUAAGCCUCUGCAUCCCCAGGUACCUUAGCGUAGCAGGCCGAAGUACUGGAGGGUCGACGGCACUGAAACCAAACAUUCCAUCUUUGAACUACAUCCUUUAAGACUCGGGAGGUAAACAAAAUUUAGAAAACCCAGUAAGUGUAUAACUCACAGUUCUCAAAAAGUUCCUAAAACAUAUGAGAUUCACAAGGCCCCUCCCGAGGGUUACGUAAGGAAUGACAAUUGCCGAGAAGAGGAGCCUCUGACCAGUUGAGCUGCCCACAAAUCCUGCAGAGAGCUCCAGGAUGCAACUGUCUUGAGAGUCAUCACGCAUGCUGGGCCUUCCAGUGAUGCACCUGCCUUUGAGUCAGUUAUGCUCGUAUGCAUAACCCAGUGAACUCACUCAUUUACUAAGCUAGUCCUGGGUUUCUUUGUUUUGUUCUCAGUACCCCAUCUGAGGCGAGUAUAUGUUUGCUCCCCUCCGAUCCUGGGGUAAAGUCACACAACAGCACUCUGUUCACUGCUAUGCCAGACCCAGAGAGGACCAAGCCCAGCUACGAGCAUGACCUUCACCUCAUGAUGGCAGCAGAACCACAAGGAAGCAUGAAAUGGAACAAAAGGCCCUUGGGUUUGGGCUGGGUUAAGAACUAUGUGGUGAUACAACCCUACCCAGGAGCCAGGGGAAGACAGAGACACUUGGAGCCAGAGGUCAGCUGAUGCCAUAGUGAGGUGGCCUUGGGUCCUGCAGAACCUUCACGUGAGUCACAAGUGCCGGGGGAGAUGGUAAGCACCCUUGGGAGACAAAAUGCCCUGAGACAACUCUGCUUCCCACCGCUGUGUUGAUCCCCUGAUUGACAGCAUUCUUGCUUACCCUUUGAGAUGGCACAUUCUAUGGCUGUCCUGUGUCUGUCUGCCUCCUAGCUUGGGCUUUUGGCAGGAUGGCGUAGAAGCCAUCUGUACUCUGCUUCUACCCUAGAAUUGAAGGAUCCAAGCAGCUAUGGGCACAGGUAACAAAGGGAACCCUGGCCUCCCAGUGUUCUCCUCUGUGUGGGGAGCAGCUGGAACUAAGGGGACGUGUCAGCCGUGGCCCGACCCAGAGGGUACAGGCUGCCAUGCACAGGUGGUAAGGGGUUUACAGGAGACCGUAGGUCCCUCACCCACCUCUCCCCAGAUCCCUGCAAGCACAGUAGAACUGAAACAUAGUGGAGAUGAGGCCACGGUGGGUGGUUGUAGGAAGAAAGGGCUGUAUGAAGAGCCACAGACAGACACUUGCUACUUUUGCCAGUAUGGAAAAAUCCUUGUGCUGAGGAUGGACUCAUGCCAGGUAGCAGGCAUGGCAGUGAAGCCUAGUACGGCUGAGCAAGGUAGGAAGCACAGGCAUGCCCAGGCCCAAGCCCAUGGGCAUCUAGAGAAGGCUCUAUACUGGAUAACGCUGUAGGAGAGAGACACUUGCAGGAAGCUGAGGACGAUUAACUGCUUCAUUUGCUGACUCAUCCUGCAGGUGUUGGGCAGUCCCAAGGGACCUGGGACAAGUGUGUGAAAAGAAUACAGGAGGCCUAAGACCCUGCGCCACCUUCUCAUGCUCCUCACAUGAAAAGGCAGGCAUCGUAUACACAGCCCACUCCUGCAUGCUCAGCUCUUUGCAAGAAGGACUGGGCCUUCUACACAUCUGCACGCUAUACCUACAGUGUGCACGGCAGUCACUCCCCAGGAGUACUGGUGCCCCACUGAGGUGACUGUGGAGAGUGUACCCCAGUAAGGAGGAAGCCUUUCCCCUGCACAGCCCACUGCAUCACUGCAAGGAGCUCCCAUCCCUGACUGGCUGUCCCCUGGAAGACCUUGAGCCAACAAAGAAGCAAACUAUUUAAGGAGUAAGCAAUUGGUGCUUAGAGAACGCCUCAGGACACCACACUGCUCGUCUUCUCCUCAAAGGCCCUUCCCAUACGCACACAUGCUGGCUCGCGGGCCCCUGCAUGUGUGCACCACCUGCGCCUCAAAACUUCCCGGUUCUUAUAUGGUAGCCCUGGCUCUGGGGACCCCUUAGCCGCAGUUCUGUGCCUGCUGUUCUUGUCUACCACCAAAGAGCUCAGAAACUCAAGAUGUGCCCUUCCAAAGUUUCACCCUGGGAAGGAAAUGCCUAGCUGUAAGACACAAGAACCCCAGCAGUGUGGCAUGGCAGGACAGUCAAGGAGCCUGCCCGCGGGCUUCUCUGUGUCUUUUCACUAUGGUUGCCAUUAUUGAGACCUACUCAGGACCGGCCACAGCAAGCUAUGGUCAUCUUUCCAGUCUGUCCCCAUGUCGUGUCCUGGUCAUCUUGUAUCGGAGUGAAGGAACGUUCAGUUGCCUCCUCCACACUCCAUACCACACACAGGGUGUCUGGGAUCCUUUCCUGGCUCUGAGGAAGGUGAGGAAGACAGCCUGGUUCUCUAAAGCAAAGCCUGACCAUCAUCUCUGGAUUCCGUCUACAAGGCAGAUGAGAAUGCUCCAUCGAAAAAGUUCAUGAGGGUCAGUUCUGGAGAGAGGCUGGGGGCUGGGAGUAGAGCUUUGUGGGAUAGCAUGCACCUAGCAUUUCCAAGGCCCUAGGUUCAAGACCCCCCUCCCCACACAUA